GUACAACAGAAUAUCUCGGGAAUGGACUCAGAAGUAUGCCAUGUGAUGCUACCUUAAAGUCAGAAUAACCUGCAUUAUAGCUGGAAUAAACUUUAAAUUACUGUUCCUUUUUUGAUUUUUCUUACCCGGCUGCUCCCCUAUCAGACCUCAUCUUUUUUAAUUUUAUUUUUUGUUUACCUCCCUCCAUUCAUUCACAUGCUCAUCUGAGAAGACUUAAGUUCUUCCAGCUUUGGACAAUAACUGCUUUUAGAAACUGUAAAGUAGUUACAAGAGAACAGUUGCCCAAGAUUCAGAAUUUUUUUAAAAAAUGGAGCAUGUGUAUUAUGUGGCCAAUGUCUUCACUCUAACUUGGUUAUGAGACUAAACCAUUCCUCACUGCUCUAACAUGCUGAAGAAAUCAUCUGAGGGGGAGGGAGAUGGAUGCUCAGUUGUCACAUCAAAGGAAGCAGCAUUAUUCUAGCAGCAUCCAUUUUGUUUAAACCUUCCACUGUUAGAGAUUUGAGGUUACAUGUUAUACUUUAUGCUCAUAACUGAUGUGGCUGGAGAAUUGGUAUUGAAUUUAUAGCAUCAGCAGAACAGAAAAUGUGAUGUAUUUUAUGCAUGUCAAUAAAGGAAUGACCUGUUCUUGUUCUACAGAGAAUGGAAAUUGGAAGUCAAACACCCUUUGUAUUCCAAAAUAGGGUCUCAAAACAUUUUGUAAUUUUCAUUUAAAUUGUUAGGAGGCUUGGAGCUAUUAGUUAAUCUAUCUUCCAAUACACUGUUUAAUAUAGCACUGAAUAAAUGAUGCAAGUUGUCAAUGGAUGAGUGAUCAACUAAUAGCUCUGCUAGUAAUUGAUUUAUUUUUCUUCAAUAAAGUUGCAUAAACCAAUGAGUUAGCUGCCUGGAUUAAUCAGUAUGGGAAACAAUCUUUUGUAAAUGCAAAGCUGUUUUUGUAUAUACUGUUGGGGUUUGCUUCAUUGUUUGACAUCAAAUGAUGAUGUAAAGUUCAAAAGAGUGAAUAUUUUGCCAUGUUCAGUUAAAGUGCACAGUCUGUUACAGGUUGACACAUUGCUUGACCUGAUUUAUGCAGAAUUAAGCUAUUCAAAUAGUGUAGUUUUAAUAUGCUGCACAUGAUACUGGCAGCCCUGGAGUUCAUAAAUGGACUUGGGACCCAGCAGUUUUGAAACGUGUAUAUGGAGUUUAAGAAAUUUAUUUUCCAGGUGCAUCACCAAUCUUAACAAUUUCUCUUCACCGUGUACACUUGACAGCUUAAAAAAAAAAAAAACUAAACAUACGAGUAACAAUGGGUCAAAAUUUACAAAAUAAAGUACUGUUUUGGUGUGGGAGUUGUCAUGAGGCUGUGUUGAAGUGACUUAACUGUGGGAUAUUGAGUAUCCAUUGAAAUGGAUUUGUUCAGCCAUUUACAUUAAUGAGCAUUUAAAUGCAACAAAUAUCAUUUCAGGUGACUUAACAUGAACGAAUAAAAGUCAAUGCUAUUGGAUUUUUUGUUUGACAAGUGCUAUCUGUGCCACUAAACUUCUUUGGUAACAAGGGCAUUACCAUUCUUCACCCUUCCUAAUUCUGAUCCUGUAGUUAUGCUUCUUAGUUAUUUCAUUUUAACCAUUGCUUUAUUAAAGUCCUGUAUUUCUAGCACGUGACAUCUCCACUUCCACAUUUUUUGCACUGCUUACGCUUGUGUGCAAGUCUUAUUCCUUGUCUGCACACACAGGUGGAAAGCUAGAAAUAAAUGUUAAUGCUUAAUUUUUUAUAAACGGUUUAAUAUGUAGUUUGGACGUGAUUUAUUGACUUAAGGUUCUUAUCUAAACUGGAAGUGAAAUGCAUGCCUUCUGAAGAUAUUCUGGCUUUGUUAAUUCUGUAAUAAGCAUUUCAUUGGGAAGUGUCAAUCCAGCUAUACAAUUUUUUCCAAUGAGUGAAUUUUUUUUAUUUUAACUUUUGCUUUAAAAAUUGUGGGUUCUUCAGGGUAGAUGUCAUGCUGUUAAAACUUUUGGAUUCAAAUUAUGAAUAAGAAACUAGUAACUGCUCCACAAGGUAAGAAAUACUGCUUUUUGGCUCUGUUCUUAAAAAAACAAUUAUUUCUGAAACUCCUGUGCUCUCAAAAAUAACAGCUUUAGUAGGCAUAUUUAUUGAAAGCCAAAACACUAAUAAAACUUUUGUAAGCAGUGGAUCUUAAAUGGGCUUUCACAUUGAUCUUUUUUAGCCUAGAACAACCUUAAGUAUUUACAGAGAUGACUUAAACCAUUGAUUGUAAUGAUAACUAGUGGAUAUGUCCAGUUCUCUUUAUCUUUGACUUAAUGCUUUAUACAAUAUUUCGUAUGUCGCUUCUAAGGGAAUAAGCCAUAAAGGCUUCUCCAGGUUUAAGAGAACAGUAAUUUAAAGUACCUGGAAAACCAACAUUUUUGAAUGUAUGGAUACUAGACUUGGGAUCAUCUACGAUGGAACUUUUAAAAGAAUGAAAGAAUUUGUUCUUUUUUUCCCCCGUCCAAACCAGUAAUUCAACAUUACUAGUGCCAUGUGUAGGACUGAAAUGAAUAUUAGCAGAUUAAAUACUGAUUUGGACCAUUUCUAUGUAUUUACUGUAUCUUUUAAUGCAUAAACUUUAAUUUCUUAAAUUCUUAAAAUUUCUCUUUUAAGAGUCCAGUUGACCUGUUAAUGGUAAAUUUACAUGUUAAGUGAUUCACUCUUUUCCCUGGGAAGAUUUGCAAUGUGAUAAUCAGAUUUUUUUUUUUUAAAUAAAUGAUUAGUUUGUUUUCCUUGUGUGGGUGUACUCACAUUUAAAAGUAUGAACCACAGUUAACAUAGUGGUCUCAGGGGUAGUGAAACACUCACUUUUUUUUUUUUAAUAGUUUGAAGUAUACUGAUCAUGGUGUGUUAGUGAUGGGGGGUGUAACUCAAACUAGCCAUGUUUUGUGUUAACAUAACAAAACUGUUAAAUGAUUGUUGAUUCCACUUUUAAGUGAAAUUUGUCUUCUAUGAGGAACCCAGU
rnacentral:lncRNA from 1 species